rnacentral:rRNA from 1 species
UACAGAGGGUGCGAGCGUUAAUCGGAAUUACUGGGCGUAAAGCGUGCGUAGACGGCUAUCUAAGUCGGGUGUGAAAGCCCCGGGCUCAACCUGGGAAUUGCAUUCGAGACUGAAUAGCUAGGGUGCGGUAGAGGGAAGCGGAAUUUCCGGUGUAGCGGUGAAAUGCGUAGAUAUCAGGAGGAACACCUGCGGUGUAGACGGCUUUCUGGACCAUUGCUGACGCUGAGACACGAAAGCGUGGGUAGCAAACAGG